AACCGAUUAUUUUGUCCUUGUAGGAUGUAUAAUUUGUAUGUUUGGAUGUAUAUGCUUUUUGUGUGAGUCAGUGAGAGAAGAUUUCUGUUGUAGAGUUUUUUGUUUUGAACGCCUUGUUAGCAAAUCAACAACGUUCAUUCUUUUCAAUAAACAUUUUUGAGAAAGCACUUGAAGCCUGGUCGGCGAUUUGGAUUCCCAGUUUUUUUAAUUGAAAUGGUACUUUUUCAAUCCUUUGGUGGGAUGUACUGGGAAUUCUCUUAUUGAGGUAUCCGUUGGUGUGCUGGAAAUUUGGGGCACGUAAAGAUUUGUCUUGGAAAAUCCUCUAGAGAUUAAUUCGAUGUUUAUUAAUGGCCAGGCUGAGAGUCGUGUAAUAGACCCUUUUGUAUGUUAAAGGGUGUUCCGGUAUUCAGUAAUUGUAUUUAUCGAUCCUGAGGCUUUAAAGAAGUAAUAGAAGUACAUUUAUUUACCAGAUUUACAUUUAUUCAGUAUAUUGGAAAUAAUAAAUUUGGCAGAUUUAUUUAGAAGUUCGAUAUUUGACGUGACAUUUUGACAAAA
rnacentral:lncRNA from 1 species